GACGAACGCUGGCGGCGUGCUUAACACAUGCAAGUCGAACGGUGAAGCGCCUUCCUUUUUGGUGGGUGUGGAUGAGUGGCGAACGGGUGAGUAACACGUGAGUAACCUGCCCCCUUCUUCUGGAUAACCGGAUGAAAGUGUGGCUAAUACGGGAUAUUCUGGGUCUGUCGCAUGAUGGGUCUGGGAAAGAUAUUGUUUCGGUGGGGGAUGGGCUCGCGGCCUAUCAGCUUGUUGGUGGGGUGAUGGCCUACCAAGGCGGUGACGGGUAGCCGGCCUGAGAGGGUGGACGGUCACACUGGGACUGAGACACGGCCCAGACUCCGACGGGAGGCAGCAGUGGGGAAUAUUGCACAAUGGGCGCAAGCCUGAUGCAGCGACGCCGCGGGAGGGAUGGAGGCCUUCGGGUUGUGAACCUCUUUCGCCAGUGAAGCAGGCCUGCCUCGUUUGUGGGUGGGUUGACGGUAGCUGGAUAAGAAGCGCCGGCUAACUACGUG
rnacentral:rRNA from 1 species